rnacentral:rRNA from 1 species
ACAACGCCGCGUGCGGGAUGACGCCUUUCGGGGUGUAAACCGCUGUUCGUGGGGACGAAGCACUGACGGUACCCACGGAGGAAGGCCCGGCUAACUACGUGCCAGCAGCCGCGGUAAUACGUAGGGUGCGAGCGUUGUCCGGAAUUACUGGGCGUAAAGAGCUCGUAGGCGGUUUGUCACGUCGUCUGUGAAAUCCCUCGGCUUAACCGGGGGCGUGCAGGCGAUACGGGCAGACUUGAGUACUACAGGGGAGACUGGAAUUCCUGGUGUAGCGGUGAAAUGCGCAGAUAUCAGGAGGAACACCGGUGGCGAAGGCGGGUCUCUGGGUAGUAACUGACGCUGAGGAGCGAAAGCAUGGGUAGCGAACAGGAUUAGAUACCCUGGUAGUCCAUGCCGUAAACGGUGGGCGCUAGGUGUGGGGUCCUUCCACGGACUCCGUGCCGUAGCUAACGCAUUAAGCGCCCCGCCUGGGGAGUACGGCCGCAAGGCUAAAACUCAAAGGAAUUGACGG